AUUGAACGCUGGCGGCACGCCUAACACAUGCAAGUCGAGCGGUAGCAUGGUUUGUAGCAAUACAGACUGAUGACGAGCGGCGGACGGGUGAGGAACACGUAGGAAUCUACCCUCAAGCGGGGAUAACCAAGGAAACUUUGGCUAAUACCGCAUAAUCUCGGGAGAGGAAAGCUACCGCAAGGGCGGCACUUGAGGAGGAGCCUGCGUCCGAUUAGCUAGUUGGCAGGUAAAAGCCUACCAAGGCGAUGAUCGGUAACUGGUCUGAGAGGACGACCAGUCACACUGGGACUGAGACACGGCCCAGACUCCUACGGGAGGCAGCAGUGGGGAAUAUUGGACAAUGGGGCAACCCGUGAUCCAGCGAUGCCGCGUGAGUGGAGAAGGCCCUCGGGUCGUAAAGCUCUUUAGGCCGGGAAGAAGGGUGUGAGGUUCAUAGCCUUGCACUUUGACGGUACCGGCAGAAUAAGCACCGGCAAACUCUGUGCCAGCAGCCGCGGUAAUACAGAGGGUGCGAGCGUUAAUCGGAAUUACUGGGUGUAAAGGGCGCGUAGGCGGCAGGAUGUGUGUGAUGUGAAAAGCCCCGGGCGUUAACCUGGGAAGUGCAUUGCAAACUGUCCGGCUAGAGUAUAUGAGAGGGUGGCGGAAUUUCCGGUGUAGCGGUGAAAUGCGUAGAGAUCGGAAGGAACGUCAAUGGCGAAGGCAGCCAC
rnacentral:rRNA from 1 species